rnacentral:rRNA from 1 species
AGCGAACGCUGGCGGCAGGCCUAACACAUGCAAGUCGAGCGGAGCGAGGGUGCUUGCACCUUAGCUUAGCGGCGGACGGGUGAGUAAUGCUUAGGAAUCUGCCUAUUAGUGGGGGACAACAUUCCGAAAGGAAUGCUAAUACCGCAUACGCCCUACGGGGGAAAGCAGGGGAUCUUCGGACCUUGCGCUAAUAGAUGAGCCUAAGUCGGAUUAGCUAGUUGGUGGGGUAAAGGCCUACCAAGGCGACGAUCUGUAGCGGGUCUGAGAGGAUGAUCCGCAACACUGGGACUGAGACACGGCCCAGACUCCUACGGGAGGCAGCAGUGGGGAAUAUUGGACAAUGGGCGGAAGCCUGAUCCAGCCAUGCCGCGUGUGUGAAGAAGGCCUUUUGGUUGUAAAGCACUUUAAGCGAGGAGGAGGCUCUUAAGGUUAAUACCCUUGAUGAGUGGACGUUACUCGCAGAAUAAGCACCGGCUAACUCUGUGCCAGCAGCCGCCGUAACAC